GGCCCUACGGGGCGCAGCAGGCGCGAAAACUUUACCAUGCGGGCAACCGUGAUAAGGAAACCCCGAGUGCCAGCACAGGCUGGCUGUCCGCCAGUUUAAAUAACUGGUGAAGAAAGGGCCGGGCAAGACCGGUGCCAGCCGCCGCGGUAACACCGGCGGCUCGAGUGGUAACCGUUAUUAUUGGGUCUAAAGGGUCUGUAGCCGGCCGGAUAAGUCUCUUGGGAAAUCUGGCAGCUCAACUGUCAGGCUUUCAGGGGAUACUGUCUGGCUCGAGGCCGGGAGAGGUGAGAGGUACUUCAGGGGUAGGGGUGAAAUCUUGUAAUCCUUGAAGGACCACCAGUGGCGAAGGCGUCUCACCAGAACGGACCUGACGGCAAGGGACGAAAGCUAGGGGCACGAACCGGAUUAGAUACCCGGGUAGUCCUAGCCGUAAACGAUACUCGCUAGGUGUCGGCCACGGUGCGACCGUUGUCGGUGCCGUAGGGAAGCCGUGAAGCGAGCCACCUGGGAAGUACGGCCGCAAGGCUGAAACUUAAAGGAAUUGGCGGGGGAGCACCACAACGGGUGGAGCUUGCGGUUUAAUUGGAUUC
rnacentral:rRNA from 1 species